ACUCCUGCGGGAGGCAGCAGUGGGGAAUAUUGCACAAUGGGCGCAAGCCUGAUGCAGCCAUGCCGCGUGUGUGAAGAAGGCCUUCGGGUUGUAAAGCACUUUCAGCGGGGAGGAAGGCGAUACGGUUAAUAACCGUGUUGAUUGACGUUACCCGCAGAAGAAGCACCGGCUAACUCCGUGCCAGCAGCCGCGGUAAUACGGAGGGUGCAAGCGUUAAUCGGAAUUACUGGGCGUAAAGCGCACGCAGGCGGUCUGUCAAGUCGGAUGUGAAAUCCCCGGGCUCAACCUGGGAACUGCAUUCGAAACUGGCAGGCUUGAGUCUUGUAGAGGGGGGUAGAAUUCCAGGUGUAGCGGUGAAAUGCGUAGAGAUCUGGAGGAAUACCGGUGGCGAAGGCGGCCCCCUGGACAAAGACUGACGCUCAGGUGCGAAAGCGUGGGGAGCAAACAGGAUUAGAUACCCGAGUAGUCCCA
rnacentral:rRNA from 1 species